rnacentral:rRNA from 1 species
GACGAACGCUGGCGGCGUGCCUAAUACAUGCAAGUCGAACGAGAGCAACCGGUGCUUGCACUGGUCAAUCUAGUGGCGAACGGGUGAGUAACACGUGGGUAACCUGCCCAUCAGAGGGGGAUAACAUCCGGAAACGGAUGCUAAAACCGCAUAGGUCUUCGAACCGCAUGGUUUGAAGAGGAAAAGAGGCGCAAGCUUCUGCUGAUGGAUGGACCCGCGGUGCAUUAGCUAGUUGGUGAGGUAACGGCUCACCAAGGCCGUGAUGCAUAGCCGACCUGAGAGGGUGAUCGGCCACAGUGGGACUGAGACACGGCCCAAACUCCUACGGGAGGCAGCAGUAGGGAAUCUUCCGCAAUGGACGCAAGUCUGACGGAGCAACGCCGCGUGAGUGAAGAAGGUUUUCGGAUCGUAAAACUCUGUUGUUAGGGAAGAACAAGUGCUAGAGUAACUGUUAGCGCCUUGACGGUAUCUAACCAGAAAGCCACGGCUAACUACGUG